rnacentral:rRNA from 1 species
GACGAACGCUGGCGGCGUGCUUAACACAUGCAAGUCGAACGAUGAAGCCGGAGCUUGCUCUGGUGAAUUAGUGGCGGACGGGUGAGUAACACGUGAGUAACCUGCCCUUGACUCUGGGAUAACUGCGGGAAACUGUAGCUAAUACCGGAUACGACCCUCGGAGGCGUCUCCUGGGGGUGGAAAGAAUUUCGGUCAAGGAUGGACUCGCGGCCUAUCAGCUAGUUGGUGAGGUAAAGGCUCACCAAGGCGACGACGGGUAGCCGGCCUGAGAGGGUGACCGGCCACACUGGGACUGAGACACGGCCCAGACUCCUACGGGAGGCAGCAGUGGGGAAUAUUGCACAAUGGGCGCAAGCCUGAUGCAGCAACGCCGCGCGAGGGAUGACGGCCUUCGGGUUGUGAACCUCCUUUAGCAGGGAAGAAGCGAAAGUGACGGUACCUGCAGAAAAAGCACCGGCUAACUACGUGCCAGCAGCCGCUGUAA